GGCGGCGUGCUUACACAUGCAAGUCGAACGAUGAAGCCCUUCGGGGUGGAUUAGUGGCGAACGGGUGAGUAACACGUGGGCAAUCUGCCCUGCACUCUGGGACAAGCCCUGGAAACGGGGUCUAAUACCGGAUAUGACAUCCUCCCGCAUGGGAAGGGUGUGGAAAGCUCCGGCGGUGCAGGAUGAGCCCGCGGCCUAUCAGCUUGUUGGUGGGGUGAUGGCCUACCAAGGCGACGACGGGUAGCCGGCCUGAGAGGGCGACCGGCCACACUGGGACUGAGACACGGCCCAGACUCCUACGGGAGGCAGCAGUGGGGAAUAUUGCACAAUGGGCGAAAGCCUGAUGCAGCGACGCCGCGUGAGGGAUGACGGCCUUCGGGUUGUAAACCUCUUUCAGCAGGGAAGAACGAAAGUGACGGUACCUGCAGAAGAA
rnacentral:rRNA from 2 species